GUGGCUGUCUGGUCACUACUGAGAGACUGUCGGUGGCUGUCUGGUCAUUACUGAGAGAAUGUCGGUGGCUGGCCAUCCUGUCUGGUCACUACUGAGAGACUGUCGGUGGCUGGCCAUCCUGUCUGCACUAUGUGUGCAAAGCUGUCAUCAAGGCAAAGGGUGGCUACUUUGAAGAAUCUAAAAUAUAUUUUGAUUUGUUUAACGUUUUUUUGGUUACUACAUGAUUCCAUGUGUUAUUUCAUAGUUUUGAAGUCUUCACUAUUAUUUUACAAUGUAGAAAAUAGUUAAAAAAAAAACUGGAAUGAGUAGUUUUGUCCAAACUUUUGACUGGUACUGUAUAUGGACAAAAUCAUCAUGGUGCUUUUUGAUGCCAAGUUUACAAACAUUGGUUGUGGUAAGUAUAAUAUAAACUUUGGUAUCAUUAUGGUAAGGCGGGAAUUAAGUAUAGCCAGUUAUUGCUUAGCAGAUCAUUAAAAUAAAAGAGAGAAUAUAAUAUCUAUUGUUUUACAGGAAACUCACUCUGUAGAUGAGGUUGGGAGAAAUAUAUUUUGUCGCGGGCUAAGAAACUCAAAAGGUUUGACUGUAUUAACAACAAUGUUUAUAUGAUUGUGCAAACUGAUCGUCAAGGAAGAUGGAUCCUUUUAAAAAUGUUAUUGGACCAAAAACAGAUCUUGAUAAUUAAUCUAUAUGGGCCAAAUGAUCCACACUUAUUAGAAUAUAUAUAUAUAUUGAGCUCACAAGCAACGAAUUAAUCUAUUAUUAUGGUGGGAGAUUUUAAUGCUCUUUUAAGUACAUCCAUGGAUCGUAAAGAAAUCACACUACAGACUAUCACCCUCUUAAUGAAAUCACAAAUAUCAUAAUAUAUUAUGGAGGUUUAAUAUCCUAUCCUAGUGAGAUAUACAUGGAGGUUUAACAUCCUGACCUAGAGAGAUAUACAUGGAGGAGGUUUAAUAUCCUGACCUAGUGAGAUAUACACGGAGGAGGUUUAAUAUCCUGACCUAGUGAGAUAUACACGGAGGAGGUUUAAUAUCCUGACCUAGUGAGAUAUACAUGGAGGAGGUUUAAUAUCCUGACCUAGUGAGAUAUACAUGGAGGAGGCUUAAUAUCCUGUUUUUAACAACCUGUUUUUAACGAAGACAACAUUAUUUAUAAUUGACUUUUUUCUGCACAACAUAUGUACAGCACAUCCCCUCAUUGUAUGGGACACUUUCAAAUGUACUUUUAGAGGCCAUUCAAUACAAUACUCAUCAUUAAAACAAAAGCAAAUUAGAGGCACAACAUACUGUAGGUUAUAGGAAAUAACAGCAGGGAGAUAGUAAUGGUAACUACUAUAGAGGCACAAAAUAGGUUAUAGGAAAAACAAAAGGAAUUGGGGGGACUUAAAAGCGAAUUGGAUGGUAAAUGAUGAAAAAUGCACAAAAUUAUUUUUUUAUCUUCAACAUCAAAAUGCUAUGAAAAAGAGUUUACAGAAACUCGUUACAAAUGUUGGAGUCAUCCAUGAUUCACCAAAUUAUACUAUACUUUGAAAUAGGAAGCUAAAUAUUUUAAGCGUAUCAUUUAUUCAGUCUCCACUGAAUGAUUUUAACUGUAAGGAUUUAUUUCCUAAUAAUAAUGUAGAAUUAACAAAUGUACAGAAAGAUUAAAUAUUUUCAGUCUGGAAAAACACCAGGGCUUGACAGUAUACCAGUAGAGGUAUAUCAGACCUUUUUUGAUGUACUCAAAUAUCCAUUAUUAGCAUGUUUUAAUUACUCCUAUAAAAAUGGCAGACUUUCAGGUACUCAACAAGGUCUGAUUUCAUUACUACUGAAACAGGACCCUUGUGGUAAGGUAUAAAGAUCCAGUCCAUUUAAACAACUGGAGACCUCUAAUGCUUCAAUGUUGUGAUGUGAAAAUCCUGGCGAGAUGAAAAGCACAUAGAACAAAACAGGUUUUUACCAGAUAUUGUUCAUCCUGAUCAGACAGGUUUUUUACAUUGACAAUAUAUUGGAGAUAUUAUUAGACAAUUACUUGAAACAAUUGAGCAUUAUGAAACAUCAAAGAUACCAGGCCUGGUCUUCAUAGCAGAUUUCGAAAAGGCAUUUGAUAAAGUAAGUCUAAAAUGUAUAUAUAAAUGCCUGGACUACUUUAAUAUCAGUGAAUCUCUUAUACAAUGGGUUAAAGUUAUGUACAGCAACCCCAGGUGUAAAAUAGUCUCAGAAAGUAUUGAGCUUUUAAGAGGAGUAAAACAAGGUUGUCCGUUGUCGCCAUAUCUAUUUAUUAUGGUCAUUGAAAUGCUAGAUAUUAAAAUUAGAUCCAACAAGAACAUUAAGGGGUUAGAAAUCCAGGGUUAAAAACAAGUGUCAAUGUAUGCCGAUUUUAGUUUUUUUCUUAAGUCCACAAUCUGGAUCCCUGCACAGUCUCAUUAAAGAUCAUGUUUCUAGCCUCUGGACUAAAACCUAAUUAUGACAAGUAUAUCAUAUUACGCGUUGGAUCGUUAAAAUACGGUGUUUACACUGCUUUGCAGUUUACCAAUAAAAUGGGCGGAUGGUGAAGUAGACAUACUUGGUAUUCAUAACUCAAAAAAUGUUAAUGAGUUUGGUUGUGUUAAUGUCAAUAGAAUGUUUUCAAAAAUAGAUACAAUUCUGCAAACAUGGAGAGGUAAAUACUUGCUUAUUUAUGGAAAAAUCACAUUGAUUCACUUGUUGGUCCUAUCAGUUGACUUACUUACUAAUUGCACAGCCUACUCCAGACAAUCUUUUUUUAAUCAUAUGAGCAAAACAAAUAUUUCACUUAUUUGAAAUGCUAUGCCAGACCAAAUUAAACGUACCUAUUUAUGAGUUUGAGGGCCUAAAAUCAUUAAAUAUUGAUUAAAUAUUAAACCUCACUAAAGGAUUCACUCAUAAGUUAUACUUAAACCCCAAAUUGUUCUCCAGUAGAUUAUUAAGAAAGGCUCAUUUAUUGAAAAAUGACUUUUUGCGUUUAAACAGAUUACAACUUCUAAUUUCUGACUAAUUGAAAAUGAAACUUUGUUUUAAGUAUCAUCCUUUCUUAAACAAGCCAUACAAAGCUGGUUACAAUUUCAAUGUUAUCCUACAGAAGAGAUGGAACAAAUAUUAUGGUUAAACUGAAAUAUACUGAUUGAUUUAAAAAAAAAAAACGUUCUUUAUGGAUAAAAAAAAAGGUAUAUUUAUUAAUGAUAUUAUGAGUAGAAACAGAGGAGUUGUGUCAUAUGCAGCUAUCGAAAAUACAUGGGAAAUUCUGCUCAAUACAAAAAUGGCAAGUGGAAAAGGGCAAAGGUAGGGAACUUGUUUGCCUGCCAUAUAUUAAAGAUACAUAUUGGCUGAAAGGAACUGGCAUAAAUAGAAAAGUAUACCAGUUUCAUCUGAGGACAAAAAUGUUGACAGCUGCGUCAUUCAGGUUGUAAAAUAGUUGAGAAGAGAUUUCUGAUGUUUAAAAAAAUAAAUAAUGUAACCUUUAUUUAACUACGCAAGUCAGUUAAGAACAAAUUCUUAUUUACAAUGUCGGCCUUUACAAUGUACCGAUUCCUGACACUUGAUUCAAUUAAUAUUCAACAUUCUUGCCACCAAAAUAUGCUAUAUAUAAACUGAAUAAAAAUAUAAAUGCAACGUGUAAAGUGUUGGUCCUAUGUUUCAUGAGUUGAAAUAAAAGAUGAACAAAAAGCAUAUUUCUCAAAUGUUGUGUACAAAUUUCUUUACAUCCUUGUUAGUGAGCAUUUCUCCUUUGCCAAUAUAAUCCAUCCACCUGACAUGUGUGGCAUAUCAAGAAUCUGAUUAAACAAUAUGAUCAUUACACAGGUGCACCUUGUGCUGUGGACAAAAGGCCACUCCAAAAUGUGCGGUUUUGUCACACAACACAAUGCCACAGAUGUCUCAAGUUUUGAGGGAGCGUGAAAUUGGCAUGCUGACUGCAGGAAUGUCCGCCAGAGCUGUUGCCAAAGAAUUGAAUGUUAAUUUCUCUACCAUAAGCCACCAAUGUCGUUUUAGAGAAUUUGGCAGUACGUCCAACCGGCCUCACAACCGCAGACAACGCCAGCCCAGGACUUCCACAUCCGACUUCUUCACCUGUGAGAUCGUUUGAGGUGGAGGAGUAUUUCUGUCUGUAAUAAACAAUUUUUUUCAGAAAAGUGUCAUUUUGAUUGGCUUGGCCUGGCUCCCCAGUGUGUGGGCCUGGCUCCCAGGUGUGUGGGUGGAUGACCCAUGGCUGUGCCCCUGCCCAGUCAUGUGAAACCA
rnacentral:lncRNA from 1 species